UGUGAUAAUUUUGUGACAACUCACAAUAGCUAGUUGUAUCGUGUCUAGUACACAUUGCUAGUGCAGAGGUUUGGUUUGAGAACUGAAAACAAUUAUCGCAAAUAUUAUUUGCUUUCGCUGUGUUGCAAAAUUGAUUAACAAAAACAACAUUAUAACCAAGUUAUGGUCUUGGUCAGCAACGAAUGGCAGAGCAAUAAGGAUGACGAGCAGAAGCCAAUUGCGGCAGCAGCAGCAUCAGCAGCGAUAGCAACGACAACGACAACUGCAACUGCUGCAGUUGCAGCCGCAGUAAACAACGUAACGGACCAAGAGCUAACCGCCAGACCAGUAGCUGUUGCCAGUGGAGUCGCCGCCGCUGUGGGAGAGCUGUCCAAGCGCCAGCAGCGCAUUAAUAAGAAGGCCCACAACAAAAUGGAGCUCAGCAAGAAGGCUGAGCAGGAGCAGCAGCAGCAGCAGCAACUGUUGCUGACGCGCGAGAAGCACGAGUCCGAGACGUGUGAGUUGUCCACAGAGAACAGCAAUAGCAACAGCAAUAGCAACAGCAACAGCAUCAACAUCAACAACAGCAUAUUAAGCAGUAACGAUGCCAACGACAAUCUGGAGAAUCAGGAGAACAAUAAUACGAGUGCAACAGAGAGCUGUGAUUCCAAUACGAACACGCUAUUGCAGAAUUUGAAUUUUCGUUUGCAGGGCCAGCUGGCACAGAAGCAGGCGCAGUUGCAAAUGGCUAUGAAUUCGGUGCUUAAUGCCAAUAAUACGACGAGCGGCAAUCUAUUUAGCUCGAUGGGUGCCUUACAAUUGCCUAAUGAGACGGCGGCCAACACGCUGCUCAAUACACAGGACAUGUCGCCGGGUGAGGCAAGGAUUGUCCUGCAAUGCGAGGGUAAAUCGCACAAAUUCGAGACACGCAACAUUUUGCUGGCUCCAAACCAGGAGUGCAAAGUGGGCCGUUUGAUUGCCAAGAGCAAGGCGAGCGAGAGCAAUGCCAUAUUCGAUUGCAAGGUGCUGUCGCGCAAUCAUGCCAUGCUGUGGUAUACGCCCGACGGCCGUUUUUGGGUUAAGGAUACCAAAUCCAGCAAUGGAACCUUCAUCAACGACAACAAGCUGGGCAAUGACCCGGCCGAGCUGCACUAUGGUGAUACCGUCAAGUUCGGCGUUGAGGUUAUCGAGAAUUCACGCCAGGAAGUCCAUGGCUGUAUCAUUGCGCGCGUGACACUGUUUCUCCCGGACGGUCGCGAGGCCAUUUCAAUAGAGUCUGAACAGCUGCAGCUGACGGGUCCAAAUCGGAUCAGUUAUGAUGAAAUACAGCGACUCAAUGCAUUUUUACAGGAGGCCUCACAGCGCGAGAAGAUGCUCAAAGCCAAGCUGAGUAGUUUACAGGGCGUUAUUGAUUCCACGCGUAAAAACGCGGCCUUGUGCUGGCAGAGCAUGAUUACCGAGGAUCAGCUAUUGCACAAGAUCAAUCUGCUCGAGAAAAAGCUACAAAUGAUGGAAAAGAAUGUGCCCGAAAAUGCGUUACGUAACGAGGUUGUUAAGUUGCUUGAGGAUAAGACCUCGUAUCAGCUAACUGCCAAAGAGGCGCUGCGCAAGGUCUACCAAGAUCGUUGCGAUGCCAUGGAAAUGCUGUCAAAAAUGGAGAUGGCGUACACAACCUCGGAUAACGAGUGCGGCAUAUUGCGCGCCCAGAUAUUAAGCUCGAAGCAGACAUUGCAGGAUUUCAAUACGCGUCUGGAUCAGCUGCAGCAGGAAUAUACGGAAUAUAAGCAGGAAACGCUGCACCAGCAGCAAGAGGCUAAAGAACAGGAGGAGCAACGACUAGGGCAGCUCAAUGAGCAGCUAAUCGCACAGGAGAGCGAAAUGGAGCAGAUGCGCCAACAGCUGCUGCAACUGCGGCAAACGAUUGCUGAUCAUAACAGCGAACAGGCGCUGCAGCAGCAACAGACGCUGGAGCAACUGAAUGCUGCCAUCGGGGUCGGUGAUGACGAUGAUGACGACGACGACGACGACGAGGAGGAUGACAACGAUGACAAUGACGACGACGACGACGACGACGACGAGGAUAAGGAAGCUGGCGAUCAUGAUAGUGGCGCUGAUAAUAAAGACGAAUAUCAGGUAGAUAAAGGUGCACAGCUCGGCGAGACGGCCGAGCUACUCGACAAGGAACAGACUACACCAAGUAAACGUAAAUCUUGUAAGAAGAGCAAGCGGCAACAGAAGGAGGAAUUCGAUUUAAAGCACAAGGUGGUACGCAAAGACACCAUGAUGAAGUGGCUCAAGAACUCGGAUCUCAAGGGCGCGGAUGGUGGCGAUGUAUUAAAAGCCAUAUUUAAUGCUGCCGACUCUGGCGACGAGGAGGUCGAACAGAAACCGCAUUCGGUUGACUCAUCGCCAACGGGGGGCACCGCAGCUGAGGUGGCAUUCGAUGAGUUCGUACACAAAUCGCCCAAGCACACCCGACUCAAUGGCAUCGAUGAGGCGGCCGAAGAGUCGUCCAUCCAUAAACUGGAAACACAGCAAACGCUGGUGCGCAACGAUGAGUCCGUGGAUGAUUUACCGAACGAGCAAGCAAUGGAUAUGCUGCACGAAGAGUGUCUAUUCUACAAGCAAAGAUCGGCUACACUGGCCAGCGACAUAAGCAUUCUGGAGGAGGAGAUGAAUAAGCUUAAACAGCAGCUGCAGGAGCAGCAACCACAUCCGCGCAGUUCUAGUGGAGCAGAGGAGAAACCCGAUGAUCUCGUGACCGAUGAACUGGAGCCCCUCUUGCCGAAUGAUGAUGGCAAGGAUAUUGAUGGGGAGCUAUCGAGUUGGCGCGAGGAACUCAAAACCAUGAAUAAUGCGCAAGUGGAGCGUGAAGAGGAGCUAAUCGUGUACAAGGAACGCCUGGAGCAAUCGGAAAGUAGCAAUCUGGAAUUGCGCAAUGAGAUUACAAAGCUGCGCCUUAAACAGCCGUUGGCCUAUGACCACCAGGUCCUCUUUCGUCGUGCCCUGCCGUUGUGCUGUGUUGCGCUGGCUGCGAUCAUCUACUUUCUGUCCAUUCACGUUUAACACACUCAAACAACAGCAAACGUCGUACCUAAAGCAGAACGAGAUUCAACAAGCAUAUAUAUACUAUAUACAUCUUGUGGGGUGGGGGCAUGCGGGGGCGUGUUGGAUGUGCGCUAUGCAAAUAUGGAAAUGGAUGUAAAGUAUGCAAAUCGGAUGGACACAGUUAUACAGUUACAAUAUUUAUAUAUCAUAUAUAUACAUAUAUAUAUAUAUACUUCUACCUUUAUAAUCGAGCUUUACUCGCCAUUUUCUAUUCUGUUCUUUCCCACAAUUCUUUUUGGACCGCAAAAUUUUUAGUUGUAAAUUGAAAUUGAAACGAACAAAACAAACAAAAAUAAUGGAAUAUAACGCCUCCCAAAUACACUCGCACACACACACGAGUGCGAUCUAAGUAUGAGAUACCUUCGAAUUGUGUACAAAUUUAGGAGAGCAGUGGCGCUAGAAAUCGGCUGGCGGCGGAUUAUUAAGUUUAGCAUUAAGUUGCAAUUAUUUACCAUUACCAGCUAUGUUUUAUGAAACUAUAUUUACGUAUGCUAAAUGUUGAUUUAUGUACCAUAAUUUAGUUGAUUUUAUAUCCGUCGUCUCAUUGUAAGCGAACGUGCGUGUAAACAUUUAUGUAUUCUGAAGUGAAACGAAACAAAAUUGAAAAAAUGCUUGCGAUAUCACAAACAAACAAAAAAAACACUCAAUGUAUGCAACAUAGAAAACAAAUACAAAUGAAUAAACACACAUAACGAUA